UUACAGUGGGUGGACACACGU
rnacentral:siRNA from 1 species